rnacentral:rRNA from 1 species
CAGUAGCCGCGGUAAUACGUAGGGUGCAAGCGUUAAUCGGAAUUACUGGGCGUAAAGCGUGCGCAGGCGGUUCGUUAAGUCUGCUGUGAAAGCCCCGGGCUCAACCUGGGAAUGGCAAUGGAUACUGGCGAGCUAGAGUGUGUCAGAGGAUGGUGGAAUUCCCGGUGUAGCGGUGAAAUGCGUAGAGGUCGGGAGGAACAUCAGUGGCGAAGGCGGCCAUCUGGGACAACACUGACGCUGAGACACGAAAGCGUGGGGAGCAAACAGGAUUAGAUACCCCCGUAGUCCCUGUCUCUUAUAC